rnacentral:rRNA from 1 species
UACAGAGGUCCCGAGCGUUAGGCGGAAUCACUGGGCUUAAAGCGUGUGUAGGUGGACCGUUAAGUACUCUGUGAAAUCCCACGGCUUAACCGUGGAACUGCUUGGUAUACUGGCGGUCUUGAGCCAGCUAGGGGCUACCGGAACAAAUAGUGGAGCGGUGAAAUGCGUAGAUAUCAUUUGGAACGCCAAUGGUGAAAACAGGUAGCUGGGGCUGUGCUGACACUGAGACACGAAAGCCAGGGGAGCAAACGGG